UUGUCUUCGGUUUCAGUCUUUCACUUUCAAAAGAUUGUCUGGAUGGAAUAUGUAGAUAUUGGGAGUUACUGUUCGAUAAUUUACGCUUACGUCAACGGACGCUGGUCCGGAGAAGCGUCUCGUCGUGGUAAAGAUUUCAAGUCUUUGUUUCAACUCGUCUUCAUGUGCUAAAAUAAUAUUUAAAAACUGAACUCAACAAGAAUAUUCAAGAUUUAGAGGAAAAAAGGUAACAAAUAU